AAUUAUGGUGGGCUGAAUCGGGCAGCCUCGGCUGGCCGUCAUCCAAGUAGCGGUAGGACCAAACCCGAUACAGUCCACCACCCAA
rfam:Vibrio mangrovi strain CECT 7927 genome assembly, contig: 0002